rnacentral:rRNA from 1 species
GACGAACGCUGGCGGCGUGCUUAACACAUGCAAGUCGAACGGUGAAGCUCGGAGCUUGCUCUGGGUGGAUCAGUGGCGAACGGGUGAGUAACACGUGAGCAACCUGCCCCUGACUCUGGGAUAAGCGCUGGAAACGGUGUCUAAUACUGGAUAUGUCCUAUCACCGCAUGGUGUGUGGGUGGAAUGAUUUUUCGGUUGGGGAUGGGCUCGCGGCCUAUCAGCUUGUUGGUGAGGUAAUGGCUCACCAAGGCGUCGACGGGUAGCCGGCCUGAGAGGGUGACCGGCCACACUGGGACUGAGACACGGCCCAGACUCCUACGGGAGGCAGCAGUGGGGAAUAUUGCACAAUGGGCGGAAGCCUGAUGCAGCAACGCCGCGUGAGGGAUGACGGCCUUCGGGUUGUAAACCUCUUUUAGCAGGGAAGAAGCGUGAGUGACGGUACCUGCAGAAAAAGCACCGGCUAACUACGUGCCAGCCGCCGCGGUAAGAC